rnacentral:rRNA from 1 species
GAUGAACGCUAGCGACAGGCUUAACACAUGCAAGUCGAGGGGCAGCGGGGAGGUAGCAAUACUUCCGCCGGCGACCGGCGCACGGGUGAGUAACACGUAUGGAACCUGCCCGUAGCAGGGGGAUAAGCGGAAGAAAUUCCGUCUAAUACCGCGUAAUAACUCCGAGGGGCAUCCCUUGGGGUUUAAAGGGUGACACCGGCUACGGAUGGCCAUGCGGCGCAUUAGCUAGUUGGCGGGGUAACGGCCCACCAAGGCGACGAUGCGUAGGGGUUCUGAGAGGAAGGUCCCCCACACUGGUACUGAGACACGGACCAGACUCCUACGGGAGGCAGCAGUGAGGAAUAUUGGUCAAUGGGCGCGAGCCUGAACCAGCCAAGUCGCGUGAGGGAAGACGGUCCUAUGGAUUGUAAACCUCUUUUGUCGGGGAGCAAAAGACGCCACGUGUGGCGUUCCGAGAGUACCCGAAGAAAAAGCAUCGGCUAACUCCGUGCCAGCAGCCGCGGUAAUACGGAGGAUGCGAGCGUUAUCCGGAUUUAUUGGGUUUAAAGGGUGCGCAGGCGGAAGAUCAAGUCAGCGGUAAAAUUGAGAGGCUCAACCUCUUCGAGCCGUUGAAACUGGUUUUCUUGAGUGAGCGAGAAGUAUGCGGAAUGCGUGGUGUAGCGGUGAAAUGCAUAGAUAUCACGCAGAACUCCGAUUGCGAAGGCAGCAUACCGGCGCUCAACUGACGCUCAUGCACGAAAGUGUGGGUAUCGAACAGGAUUAGAUACCCUGGUAGUCCACACAGUAAACGAUGAAUACUAAUUGUUCGGGGAGAAUGAUCCCUGAGUGAUACAGCGAAAGCGUUAAGUAUUCCACCUGGGGAGUACGCCGGCAACGGUGAAACUCAAAGGAAUUGACGGGGGCCCGCACAAGCGGAGGAACAUGUGGUUUAAUUCGAUGAUACGCGAGGAACCUUACCCGGGCUCAAACGACACAGGAAUACUUUUGAAAGGAGGUAGCUCUUAGGAGUCUGUGUCGAGGUGCUGCAUGGUUGUCGUCAGCUCGUGCCGUGAGGUGUCGGCUUAAGUGCCCAUAACGAGCGCAACCCCCAUCGCCAGUUACCAGCAAGUCAAGUUGGGGACUCUGGCGAGACUGCCGGCGCAAGCUGUGAGGAAGGCGGGGAUGACGUCAAAUCAGCACGGCCCUUACGUCCGGGGCGACACACGUGUUACAAUGGCAGGUACAGAGAGAAGCAAUGCGGCGACGCAAAGCGGAACUUGAAAGCCUGUCUCAGUUCGGAUUGGAGUCUGCAACUCGACUCCAUGAAGCUGGAUUCGCUAGUAAUCGCGCAUCAGCCAUGGCGCGGUGAAUACGUUCCCGGGCCUUGUACACACCGCCCGUCAAGCCAUGGAAGCCGGGAGUGCCUGAAGUGUGCAACCGCAAGGAGCGCCCUAAGGUAAAACUGGUGACUGGGGCU